rnacentral:lncRNA from 1 species
CUUCUUCUUCUUCUUCUGACUUUUGCCUUCUGUCUAGCGCCAGUCAGAAGCUCCUUCGUCUGCGCACAUAUAUUUGUAUGCAUGCUCCAGAAGUUCGGCAUAAAUUCGAGGGAGAGUUUUAUCCAAAAAAUAUAUGAAUCAAGAUCCCCUCAGACCUCUUUUUAUGAUCGAAAUAGCCAUGUUUUCAUUGAGAUCUUUGACCUCAAGCAUAGCCACAUUAAAAUGAGUCACAAAAUCCCGAAGUGUU